GUAGGUGGCAAGCGUUGUCCGGAAUUAUUGGGCGUAAAGCGCGCGCAGGCGGUUCUUUAAGUCUGAUGUGAAAGCCCACGGCUCAACCGUGGAGGGUCAUUGGAAACUGGAGAACUUGCGUACAGAAGAGGAAAGCGGAAUUCCACGUGUAGCGGUGAAAUGCGUAGAGAUGUGGAGGAACACCAGUGGCGAAGGCGGCUUUCUGGUCUGUAACUGACGCUGAGGCGCGAAAGCGUGGGGAGCAAACAGGAUUAGAUACCCUGGUAGUCCACGCCGUAAACGAUGAGUGCUAAGUGUUAGGGGGGUUUUCCGCCCCCCUUAGUGCUGCAGCUAACGCAUUAAGCACUCCGCCUGGGAGUACGGCCGCAAGGCUG
rnacentral:rRNA from 1 species